UUGAAUAUCAAUAUCCACUAAUUUCUUUCUUUUUUUUGUUAUUGUCUUAGUUUUUGAGGGUGGAACAGCUUUCUGGGUUUUCCAGCUUGGUAUUUAACAUCUGUAUUCAAAAGACUCUGUAUCUUCAACCUCUAGAAUAGCUGGGAUUACAGCUAAUGCCACAGAGCCCACUCAAUGUCUUUGUUUAUAGCCGGCAAGGGAUCCAGUGGGUGUGGAUGGUGCAGUUUCAGUGGACAGUAUGUUUACUUGCAGGGAAAACAAAAGGCCUUUACCGUUUCAAAGACUAGAUUCCAGACAUCCCUGAGUCUAUGCCUUUUCACUUGGGCUGCAGUGAGUGGCCUUCUUGGAGAACAUCAAGGCUAUAGGUCUGACCUGUUCUUUUGCUUCCAGAUGAGGUAUUUUCUGCCAUUUCAAAACAUUUUCUUCUCUUGGAAAAAUUUUCCUGUGUUUUCCUUUUUUAUCAGAACUUGUGCUUUCGAAAAGCCAACACCGCUCUCUUUGCCAUUCCUCCUUAUGCCGCGUUGAGGGUAGUGCGUUUUCUACAUUGUUUAACCAGGCAGAGCAAUUAGUGCCCAAGGAGACAGGAGGCUGACUGCCUGGCAGGAGGAAUGGUUUUCAUGGGAACAGCAUUGAAAGCCUGGCGCUGGGCGAGGACCCUUGCCAGCAGCCUCGUUUGCUGCUGGCCCUCUAGUUUGGCUGCGUACAAGUUGUUUAUACUUCAGAUGCGCUAAUGAACAGCCCCUCUCACGGAGCGGGUCCUUGGAAUAGUUUCAUCCCAGCAUGUGCCCACUCAGUCAGAGAAUCAGUAGAGAGCUGCUGUGCUCUCUGCAUGCCUGCUAAGCUAAUUCACCAAUUGUGCAGUCCUGGUUUUCUAUACCUCCUGGGGGAAGGCUUUCAUCAAGCCCAGGUCUUUCUGGAUUGAGCAAUUGGACAAAUGGGUGGGGUCUUGAUUGUGACACUGGAGCUGGAAUGAGGAAAACAUCAGGCAAAGCCUUGUGUCUCAGGGAAGCCACAUUCUAGAAAGCAUCUCUAGGUACGGAUAAACAAACAUGCAGUAGGCGAGAUGCUGAUUAGUAUCUGCUGAAACUUAGAUACCCUGCGGGACCGCAUCGAACUUGUGCUUUUGAAAAGCCAAACUCCUCCCUUUCCUUUGCCUGGUGCCAUGCUGUGAGUAGUGUGUUGAUGGAGUUCACUGAGAGUGUAUCUGGGACAUCACUUCUAAAGAAGACCUCAGAAUGGUGUGUUGAGAGGAGGAAGCCAAGGAGUGCAGGAAGAAAAAGGAAGGAUUUGACAGAAGGAAAGCUAGGAAGAAGGCCAAUACAGAAGGGAUCGAAUGAGGAAGGGAGUGUGGUGUGAACUGAGUCUCCAUUUGAGUAAGGCAGGGCCAGAGUAAGCCAAUGGGGUUUCGUUCUGACUUAGAAGUUCAUGGAGGUGUGUUUGUUAAGCAGAAGGGAGAGAGGCACCGUGGCCUGAGUGCCACCAUUCUGCUGUGCUGUACUACAGAACAACAGAGGGGAUAAAAAUGCUGGCCAGGAGAUCCUGCAGUAGAGAGGUCCAGAGAGAGAAGGUGAUGGGUUGGCCUAAAGUGGUAUUGGAGAUGGGAAGUCAUGUUGGAAUUGAAACACAUUCUUGUGUUUAAUACCACUUGUGUAUGUGCCUAACAACAAGCAAGCAGUCAACUCCAGAUGGGUGUCUCAACAUUUCACCUUAUUUCUUUCUCUUUAAAAUUUUUUUUGAGUAUUGCAUUUAAAUAACUUUCCCUUUCUUUCCUUCAACUUCUCCUGUUUUCUCCUUACCUCUGAAAAUACACCCACACCCACUCACAGACACACAGGCACACACGGAGACAUGCACACUACCUGCUGAGCCCUUUUAGUGUUCCUUAUAUAUAUGUGGUCUUAGGUAUUGGAUAACCAGUUAGGGAACUUAUUCUGGAGGAAGACGGACUCUUCUUCUCAGUGCACUUACUAAUUGAUUGUCGCUCUUGAGCUAACCAAGGAGUAGUUUCUCUAGUUGGCCUCUGUACUUACAAACACUGUGAUGACAUCUCCAGAUGACGCCUUCACUGGAAUGCAUUUUCUUCCCUCCAGCACAUACCCUUGCAUCUGGCGACUAACCGGCUGAGAGAAGGGAACACAAGCAAAUAGCACAGGAUGCCAUCUGUCUGGGGGCGUGGAUCAGUGCGUAGAAUUCAUGCUGAGGAAGUCCAGCAAUUUCUCAUGAAGUUUGACGCGCUGUCUCUGCCUAGUGCGGAUGGGAGCAGUGACUGUGUGUCCCCCGCUGUCCUUCUCAUCACAUCACGACACCUGCUGAGGAUGCUUCAGUUUGACUCCUUGCGGGUCAUCGGUUUCUUCAGACUGAGUUUCUUCUGGGUCUGCUGGCUGUCCAUCCACAUCACCUACAAGCACGGUCUGCAGAGACACAGCCUGUGCCUCCAGCAGGCAUCCAAGGCCCCGCUGCUGACCAUACUACCCUUCUGCUUCUCCCUCACGCCUAAGGCUCCUGUGAAUCCAGUGUGGAUAACUGUACACUCUGAGACUUUGGGGGGAACUCAAGAGGAGCAUCGAUGCGCUCUGGGUUCUCUUUGGGUAGAUAGGCUGUCAGGAAUUUCUUGAGCACACACCAUCUUCAGGUCCAUCUGCCUCAUCCAAAUCUUUCUCCCUACCUUGCCUUUGUGGCUCUCAAGCUGAAGAAGGCUAUUUGAGCCUAGGAUCCCCCUUUCCCCUCUCUUCUGAUUUGGUUUCCAGAGCCUUUUUACUGUGCUUGAACAUUCGCAUUCUUUACUUACGCGUUGAUUUCUCUGCCUUCAUGGAAUCUCGGUGAAGAUGAAGACACCGUCUGCUUUGAUCAUUGCUUUAUGUCUGACACGUAGAACAGCAUCUCGCACAGGGAGGAGGCUCAGAAAACAUUUGUCAGAAGAAGAAUGAAUAAAUAAAUGAGUAAACUUAUGUGGGGUACUUCGACUUACUGUAUCUAGUAAGCAGAAAUACCUUAAGUACAGGGAAGGAUUGUGGUGCCACAGAUUUCCCCCCACCCCCCACCUGUGGACAAUUUCUUACAGUUUCAUUAUCAAUAGACAUAUAGUAGAUUUAUGUGUUUGCUAUGAGAGUGGAACUGGAAUGGACAUAAAGGCAGAACUGCCUCUGCUUCCUCUCUUCUUGGCUGAUCAGUUCCAUUUCCUGACACACGUGUUUGAAGGAACCUGGUGGGCCUCGGAUUGUGUACAAUUGUGUAUCUUUGGAAAAGUCAGAGCUCUCUUGCUCUUGGCCAUGCUCAUGAUUUCUAGCUGGAAUCAAGGAAAAGUCAUUGCUUACAUUCUUCUCGGAAACCCUUGGUACAGUUGCUUGAAAAAGCCUGGAGGAAUGCAAUAAAAUAUAAAGAUGGAGACGCUGGUGGGAAAUGGACCUGAAGUUUCCUGGGUGUUUGUUUCCAUUCACGAGUAUAAGCAGAGAGAUUUAUAAUUCCAGAAAUCACAUUUUCCCCCUAAGCUGCUUUUUAUCUUCUUCUUCUAAAUGUUACUGCAGCUCACGUGCUUCUUCAAAAUCAGAAGUGAGGAUUAAAGAAGGUAAAUGUGUGGAAGAGAUUUACUGACUCCCUGGCGCAUCUCCUGUUGAGGUGGAAGCAAUCAGGGCUAUGCAUCUGGGAACACAGAGAGAAUUUAUUAGGUCUUAAGUCUUGGUACAGGUUCUCUGGGGGCUACACAGAGGAGAGAGUCUUUGAAAUUCUUCUUGAGCGUUAAGUGCAGCUCGCUCCCGGGUCAUGAGAUCUAGCAAGCACAACGUCUUAAAUCACAUGUCGGAUCUCAGGACUAAGGGAUUACUCCGCAUAUGGGGAAUUAACACGUUUGCAGUCGUUUAAUAACCACAGGCUAGAGAGUGGAGAUUGAAAGCCCGAGCUGCUUUUGCAGACCCUGGGGUUUCUGAAGACCCAUUUCUAAGAGGAAUUGUGUUUUCCAUGUAACUCCACUUCUCGGUAAGCUACCCCCUUCUGCCACCUCCCUCCCACUUCAGAUGGUUCUCAUUUGGCGCAGUUUUGCCCCCUUGGAAAAAAAACAACUAAACUAGAUCAUCUCUUAAAUGUACUGAAAGCACUGGACGUAAUAAAUCAUGAAAGGCGAUACCUUCCCUCAAACUGAAUCACGACUCCUAAUGCAGCUGACUUGUACAUUUGAAUUCCCUGUGGGUUGGCUUAAAGCUUGGCUCGGUGCCAGGUGGCCAUUAGGCAAUUGUGUGGGUGACUCUAGUACACUCUUGGUAAUUGCCCCCAGGCUUGUAAAUGGCCCCAACAAAAGGACAAGGCACACUUCUAUAUAAUUUUACAGAAGAGGGAAAAAAAAGAUACAAUAUGGAAAUUUUAUUACAACCUACAUUAGCUGCCUCUGCUUGUGCGCAUAAGAGACAAGUGAUAUUAUAGGUAUAAUUAAAUUGGAGAGAGAGAGAGAAAAAUAUGUGUGUCUAUGCUGUUGGUAUUAUUUCUGGGUAGAGAAAGCUUAAAGAAGAACUCAUCUUAUAUGGCCAUAGGGAUCUGGAUCUGCUGAGGCCCAUAUUCAUCAUCUUUUCCUUUAUUUGUUGCAAGUGGAGUAGUUUAUAAAUCAACUGUUGAAGUGCUGGUAGGUAUAUUUCAGGGUCUGUCACCCCCUGCACUGCUUGGUCCUGGAAACCUGACUGGGUCAUUGAGGGAGUGAAGGAAGGACAGACACACAGACACAUGUACAGAAAACCUGGGAUCUGAUGGUCUGUGCUUGCUCCGGUGGACCAGCAACAACUAGGUGACAAUCUGGAGUCUCAGCAUGCAUAUUACACACAGCAUGAGAGAGACUGGAUGACUAGGAGAAGAUGCUCACUGGCUUGGUGCCGUCUUCUACUCUGGGAUGUCUGCACAUCCUUUCCUCUGGCCCAGCCCACAUCACUUGGGCCUUUCUCAGGUUUUGGUGUGCCCUUGUAGAUGGCAGAUGCUCACUUACCUUUUGGAAGGCUUUGAGAAGUUGUACUAGCUUCCUGGGUGGCAACAUAAGGGGAAUGAGCUUAGCUUUGUACUCACCCUGUAUCACCCUUCGUUAUCACUCUGGGGCUAUCUUGAGUGGAUGGCCUCUGGAUUUGUGGAAAGGCUCUAGAGAACACAGCAGGUUUUUAAAGAAACGACACAUAGUUAUACGAUCUUGAGGACAUUUUGGUUCUGGAAGGAGACUGACAGGUUAACUCAUGCAACAGUUCUUGUCCCAAAAGGAAAUCAGAGUCCACAAAAUUUAAAUUACUUGGCCCCAAACUUCUAGUCAAAUUUUAAUUUGCUUUGUGUGGUUUGGGAAUAGUUUCCACCAGCUUUUUGGCAGUGAUCUCUCCCGUUCAUGUAUGCUUCUAAAGGCCAUUUGGGGGCUCAGGAAAAAUUACCCAGUGGUUAAAAGCGCUUGCUGAUCUUCCAGAGGAGCUGUGUCCAGUUUACAGCACCCAAAUUAGGUGACUUGCAGCUGCUUUAACACAUUGCUCUAGGAGAGCCAACACUCCUGGUCUCCAGCCUGUACACUCAUCCAUGUACUCAUGCACACACACAUGCAUAUAUAUGCACAUACAUAUAUUUAGAUGAUAUAUAUAUGUAUAUAAAAUUGCAAAUGAAUCAGGUGCUUAAAACAAGGCAAAAGCUAUUUUGGCAUUCUUGUGAUUAGUAAGAUUUGCUUGAAAAAACCCAACUAAAGGUAAACUAGAAGGUGUGCAUGCAAUACAGUCUUACAUUACACAAUACAGUCUUCAAGUAACAGAAAAUGUCUUACAGGACGUGACAACUGAUCUAGUUCUAAUGAAUGCUGCCAAGCAAAUGCAGCGACUAAGCUAGCAGGAAGGUGGGUAGGUGUAGCUUGAAAGUUAGGUCUCUCAUAGCUUCAGACAUUUGGACAGUCGGCAGCAGUGAUUGGGCAGUUUAGGAAAUGUGGCCUUGCUGGAGGACGUGAGAGUUCAAAGGGUUUCCAUUAUUUCCAGGUUUCUCUUGGCUCUCUGCUGGCAGUUUAUGUUGGGAAGUCUCAGCUUGCUGCACUAGACAGUGGACCUGCACGCUGCCAUGUUUCUCUGCUGUGAUGUUGAAGGACUCUUAGCGCUCUGGCGUUAUCAUGAACCAGCUUCUGACUUGAACAUUUUGAGAGGGCAGCUGCUAUGAUGAAGAGGCCAGGGUGGCAAGGAACUGAAAGUGACUUCUAACCAAGGAAAUCAUUUGGCAAGGAUCAGAGCUCUUAAGUUCAACUCCUGUGAAGAAGUGGAUUCUGUGUUGAUAGAAGAGCUUAGAAUAAGGGUCUUCCUCAGUUUAGUGGUAAGCCUUCUGCAGCCCAGUGCAAACCUUCAUUGCAGUCUAUGAGAAAUCCUUAGAUCAAAAGAUACAAUGAACCAUAGGGCAUCCCUGCCCCACACAAGCUGAUCGACAAAAAUCUUAAACUAUUUUUAGUUACCAAAUUUUGGAGAAAGCUGUCUGGUGCCAGCACGGAUUUGCUAAAGAUGUAGCAAAAAUGGGUGAGACAAGCUUGUAGGUUUAAUUACAGGGCAUUGUUAGGUGUCUUACGUUUUGAGGGACACUGGAUAUUAAUUUUGCAAUUGCAAAAUGGAAUUCAUUUUAGAUGAAGGUGCCUUCAGACAGGCAAAAACAUCAAAGAGUCCUCUGUUCCUUUUAAGUUCCUAGGGACAGAAUGGCAUUUGUGACACAGAAAUUUUGCGUCGAGUUGAGCCUGUUUUUGUUGUUGUUGUUUUUGUUUUUGUUUUCUUUUUUUUUCAGUAAUUUGGAAGCAUGGCUGGUAAAACAAAAUGGUGCCUGCCAGCAUCAGAUUGUUAGUUGUACAAAUUGUAACAACCAUGAUUUAUUGGCCACUUGGAUCGUGCUAGGGGGUCCUCACAAUCCCAUUCUAAGGAAUUCUCUAACCAAUCAUAAGAUACAGGAAAACAAUUCUAUAUAUAUAUAUAUAUUUUUUUUUUUUUUAGAGUGAGAAAAGAGACAUGUUGGAACAUUAGGAAGCCUGUAGUGUUCAAUGGCCAUGUUUUCAAGACUUGGGCGUGUCUCCCUCCAGCCCUGUGUUCUUGAUUUUCCAGCUUCUCUAAUGCAAAGCCAAAGGCUCUUCUCUGCUUUACUGGAUCCAUGGUGGCAAAUGUGUUUUGUAAACAAAACAAACAAACAAAAAGACAAUCAAAAACAUCAUCAGCAAAUGAAAAUAAACCUAUCCCAAUAAGCACCUCCACUACAAUGCUACCACCUCCCAAGCCUCUUAGCGCUAGCCAGCAUCUUUCCCCCAAGUGUAUUCACAGCUAGUCAUAUGCUCGUCCACAGGCUUUUCUACCUUGUUUGCACAUUAGUUUAUUAUUAUUUAUUAUUAUUAUUAUUUGGCUCCUAUUUUUUUAACUUAAUAGAUUUUUGCUGAAUUCAGAAUUGUGUAAGUUUGUUGAGGAUCAACAUGGGUGCUUCCAUAUCUGUUGCUAUGGCUUUCAAAUAGUAAGGAAUGAGUUCUUUCCGAUGCAUUCUAAAGAUUUAUUUAUUUAUUAUAUGUAAGUACACUGUAGCUGUCUUCAGACACCCCAGAAGAGGGCAUCAGAUCUCAUUAUGGAUGGUUGUGAGAUUUGAACGUGGUUGCUGGGAUUUGAACUCAGGACCUUUGGAAGAACAGCCAGUGCUCUUAACCACUGAGCCAUCUCCAUCCCCCUCUGAUCCAUUCUAUUAGUUUCAGAUGAAGACAGUGAUCAUCUGAGAGUGUGUUGUCCUCUGGGGUCUUUUCAGUCUUGUGUAAGGUGCUAGCAAGGUCAGGAAGGGCUGGACUGAGAACAAGAUGUUCCAUAAAAUCACCAUUGUGAAUUCUCCCAAAGACAAGCUUUGUUCCUGGCCCAAAGGCAUGAAUGUUUACAUGGAUCAAUUGCUGUACUUCUUACUUGGGCAAAAUCUCUAACAAAGGAAGGAGGGCUUAUUUUGUUUGUGAAGGGACAAGACACCCUAGGACCGAGAUCUCAGCACAAACAAGGGACAAACGGGAGGGAAUAAGAGACAAAGAUAGGAGAUAGAGGAUGAGGGAGAAGGAAAAAGGAACAAGGGAAAGGAGGAAGGGACACAUGUCCUACAGGGGAACAAAGGACUACCUAUGGAUAGAGAAAGACAUGGCCCAUAGGCAAAUGACAGCUCUAAAGCUAUAAGGGAAAACCCCAUGUUAGGAUGAGCUGUCUAAAUUUGAUUUGGGUAUGUUAAUUAGCAAUCUCAAAAGGGAGCUUUUAAUUGCUGGACUUCAAUACUUUGAUAGCUGGACCUUGGCAAUCAUCCUGAGGGGAGGAAGUGGCCAAAUAAGGGAAUAGAGUUGGUGGCUAGCUUUAGGAGUGUAAUCUAAUGUUUUUUUUCCUUUUGUUUUUUGUUUUUGUUUUUGUUUUUUAGCAAGCAGGAAGGAAUAGGGGAAGGCCAAGGCCUGUCAGAGUCAUAUUUGCCAUGCUAGAGUCCCUUCAGUUUUAACUUCCAGAGACCCAUGUCCGCUGUGGUAGGGAAAGCAUAGUGAAAGCCAGCAGCACACACUGCAGUUUAGGAAGCAGAGAACUUGGAUGCCAAUGUUCUGAUGGCUUUCUCCAUUUCUUCUUUUACUUUUUUUUUCAGGCACCAACACACUGGACAGGGUCAUACACAUCCUGGGAAUGUUGACAUUCUCUAGAAACCUUCUUAGUGGUAUACCCGGUAGUGUAUCAUCAGGUUGACAAAGAGGCUAAGUUAACCCACCAGGAAGGAAAAUUAAGGUGACAAAGCACCAUAGUUUGCUUGCGAUUGGCAGAACUUCUAGGAGAGCCAGCAUAUGAGCCAGCAUAUGAGCCAGUUAACCUUGUGAGCAUAAGCAUAUGGUAGGGUGCACAGCCACCACUGUUUUCUAUUAACAUGGCUUCUUAUUCCUAUGACUUCUAAUUUAACUAACCAAUUAGCCACUACCAGCCGAUCUUGCUCUAGUUUCAAGGUGUGGUAGACCCUGUUACUUUGUGUUUUGUUUCCAAACCAUGACAAGUUAGGUGGCUUUAAACAACUGCUUAAAUUUAGACUUUUUUAAAAAAAUAUAUUUUGUGUGUUAUGCCUGCAUUUAUGUCUGUACAACACACAUGUGCCUGGUACUGAGGGAGGUCAGAAGAGGAUGUCAUAUCUCCCAGAACUAGACUUAUGUGAAUGGUAGAAAUCAAACCCUUGUUUUCUGGAAGAGCAGGCAGUGCUCUUCACUGCUAAGCCAUCUCUUCAUAUAUGUUUUAAAAAUUACAUAUAUGUGUGUCUGUCUGUGUCGGGGUAUGGGCAUGUGAGGACAGUUAUCCAAAGGCCAGAAAAGGAGGGCAAAUGUUUUGGAGCUGAGGUUGUAGAAUGUUGUGUGCCACCCAGUGGGAGUACUGAGAGCCAAACCCAGGCUCUCUGCAAGAACCGUACACACUAUUAAAGGCUGAAUCCUUUCUCUGGUCCCUUAACAACCACAUAUAGCUGGGAAGAUCUAGUGGUAUUUGGAGACAAUUUAUCACCACCAUUUCUCUGUGAUGUACAGGCAAGGCCCCUGGGUCUGUUCUGUGUAGCAGCUCCACUUUGAAGUCCUGGAGGGUUGUACCCACUGUGCAGCCAUAGAAGGUGCAGAGAGGCACAAAAGAAGCUUAUUAGUAUGCACUACAGGUCCAGGAGAGCCCUAUCAAAAGCUCACAUGCCAAGCUAUUUAAUUUGUUGGCCCGCUCUGUAGAAGGAGACCUGCUGGGCAGGGUGGGUUUGAAGAAUCAGAUGGAAAGAAAUAUAAACGAAUCUAAUUCACACUAUAAUUCUUGGCUGCACUCACAUGCGCAUGUAAACUUUUCCUACCAUGGAGUUGGCAUAAAUCUUUUGCCACUUUCCCUGAGCUGGUAUCUGGCAGCUGAAAGUUGAUAGAAAAGAAAAAAAAAUCACACAAUUGAGCAGACUAAAUUUUUCAAAACUUCCUCUUGUCCCUAAGCCAACCAUGGCGUUGCUUCUGCCUUAUGACCUUGUUUUAGUCUUCAUGGAGAUAAAAAUCAUCUUCUUAAGUUCUGUGACUUGUCACCGCCAGGAUAACAUUUCAUUCCACCCCAUGCUCCUUCUUAGUCAGUAGUUAGGGAGACUCCAUUUCCACUCUCAUGCCAGUAUCCUUCUUGGUUGUUGAACAAACCUUACUGUGUCUGUACAGUGUACUUAUUUCUUUUACGCAUUUGUCUGUUGAUGGGCAUCUAAGCAGAGCUGCGCAUCAUGGCUAUGAAUCUAGGCCCUUAUUAAUUGUGCUGCAAUAAGCAUAAAUGUUCAGUCUCUGUAGUGUACUGACCUAGGUUCCUUGAGUAUGCCCCCAAAGUAGUGUAUGGAAAAUCAUGUAUUCUUUUAUUCCCAUCUCUUUAGUUCUGAAUAUCUAUAUUAUUAAUAUACAUUAUUAUUAUUGGUACAGUAUGAUGGUAUAAUAUUGAAUUUUGUUGUGUAAAAAUGUAUCAUCCAAAAAAGCCAUUUAAAUUUUAUAUUUAAACCCUUGUGAUUUUAUUUGUACAUCGUCAUUACAAUUUGUCCACAUUUAAUACUGAGAUAACAGCUCUUAAAUUUUCUUUCAUUGGUAAAGAAAGGACAUUUGUCAUAAGGAAAUAUUGAUUUUUCCUUUUGAUUCUUGCUACUGACUUUUAUUUUCUGUGUGGUUUACGUUUUUCUUUGUUUUGAUAGUUUUUUGGUUAAGUAUUAUAAGAUUAAACUUGUAGAAUAUUUUAUCUAUAGAUUUCAGAAAUAUGUCAAAGCUCAUGUAAGACAAUAAGGGAAACUCUGAGAAGUACAUUAGCUUUAGGCACGUCUGGAUCGAGGAGUGAAAAUGUGUCUCUCUGUCUCUGUUGUUUUAUGCUUACCGGUUCUGUGCUGAGCUGAGCUGUUGUGGAGCUACUGAUGUCUCCUAGCAAUCCGCAAGUCCUUUGUCUGUGCUGCAGACCAACAGAAAGUCAACUCUGUAGAGUAUAAUUGAUAUGUGAAUUAAAAAUGUUUGCUAUAAAUACAAUGAGAUAUUGUAGCACA